AGGGACCGAACCCGCAACCUCAUGGUUCCUAGUCGGAUUCGUUAACCACUGCGCCACGACGGGAACUCCUGUUAUUCAUUUACUUCUGUGGCAGCCAUUCAAGCGUUGAAGAAGGAGUAACUUGCUUCUGAUCUGUUUCCUGCCUUCAGACGAGACCCAAGGCUCUCGGGUAAGAUAUGUGUCAGGUAUACUGAGGACAAAGUGCACAUUUAAUUAGAAAACCAGGGAAUAGGUGGCAGUAAGUGGGGCGGGGCGGGAGGGGGGCUAGAUUUUCUAACAUCCCUUUUAGGCAUUUUUAUCUAAUAAAACCUCCCCAGUACAGGAGAAGCUCUUAAGGUACCUCCAUGUAACCAUCUCAUGGGAUUAACUGAUGCUGUCCAAUCCUCCUGGAAAACUUAUCAACCAAGGCAUCCGUGUUGGCUUCCGCACCCGGACAUUUUUUGUGCUCACCAGGAGUUUUAUACAGAUUAACUCAUUAAGUCCUUAGAGCAACACCAUUUUACAGGUGAAAAAAAUGUGGCAGGAGGAAGUUAAAUAACUCAGCCCCAAUCGAGUUGGGUCCUUACCAGGAAUUAAUGGUGUUUGCUAACAAAACAAUUUUUUUUGCCAGGCACGCAUGGCAGAGUUUGAUUCGAUGGAGUGUAAACCUGGGCAAGACGAGCGCAAAGAGAGAUUGAGCUAGGAUUUCCGUGAAAACUAAACCGAAUGUUUUGGAAAGGCUUGAUAAAGGGUUAUCCUGAGUGAGGCCGUCAGCCUCUGGGAGCCUCCGUUGAUGUGUGACAUGCAGAUACAAGUGCCUACCCUGCAAGAAUGAUGAAAGGAAUAGAAAUAAUGAAAAGCAGGUAAGACUGUGCUGACCCUUACAGGCACAUAAUGAAUUGUGGCUAGUUAGAGUACGGUGGGGGGCCUCUCUCUGAACUAGAAGGUUUUCAGCAGAUCAAAAUUUUGAUUAAAGCAAGGAAUCUUUA